rnacentral:rRNA from 1 species
GAUGAACGCUGGCGGCGUGCCUAAUACAUGCAAGUCGAGCGAACAGACGAGGAGCUUGCUCCUCUUACGUUACCGACGGACGGGUGAGAAACAAGUGGCUUGCCUCCCUAUAAGACUUGGGUGCUUUCGGCGACGCGGAGUAAUUACCGUAUACUAUAUUGAACCGCAUUGCUCAAUGAUGAAUGUCGGUUUUGCUGUCUCUUUUACAUCGAUCCGCGCCGCAUUAGAUAGAUGGUAAGGUAACGGCUUACCAAGGUAACGAUGCGUAGCCGACCUGAGAGGGUGAUCGGCCACACUGGAACUGAGACACGGUCCAGACUCCUACGGGAGGCAGCAGUAGGGAAUCUUCCGCAAUGGGCGAAAGCUUGACGGAGCAACGCCGCGUGAGUGAUGAAGGUCUUCGGAUCGUAAAACUCUGUUAUUAGGGAAGAACAAAUGUGUAAGUAACUAUGCACGUCUUGACGGUACCUAAUCAGAAAGCCACGGCUAACUACGUG